GACGAACGCUGGCGGCGUGCUUAACACAUGCAAGUCGAACGGAAAGGCCCUGCUUGCAGGGUACUCGAGUGGCGAACGGGUGAGUAACACGUGGGUGAUCUGCCCUGCACUUCGGGAUAAGCCUGGGAAACUGGGUCUAAUACCGGAUGUGACCUUCCAUGUAGUGUGGGGGGUGGAAAGAUUUAUCGGUGUGGGAUGAGCCCGCGGCCUAUCAGCUUGUUGGUGGGGUAAUGGCCUACCAAGGCGUCGACGGGUAGCCGGCCUGAGAGGGUGGACGGCCACAUUGGGACUGAGAUACGGCCCAGACUCCUACGGGAGGCAGCAGUGGGGAAUAUUGCACAAUGGGCGGAAGCCUUAUGCAGCGACGCCGCGUGGGGGAUGACGGCCUUCGGGUUGUAAACCUCUUUCGACAGGGACGAAGCUUCGGUGACGGUACCUGUAUAAGAAGCACCGGCUAACUACGUG
rnacentral:rRNA from 1 species